UACUAGUUGCUCAUGUGCAAGGUUUAAAAUGAUUUUUUUAAUUUACUUUUAGGUCGGACUCCGAGUUUGAAACUAUUGUACCCCUAAAUAACAAGACUGGAGGUGCGAAAGCGAAAAAACCGGUGCAGAAAAGAAAGUCCGAUGCUGCUAAUAGGUCCGAUUCAGAACGAGAGUGGGAAGAAAUUGACGCGGGGACCAAGAAGGUGAAGAAGCCUCGCCAGGCGAAAUCUCCUAGGACUACUAGUGGAGCGUCUAAGAAAAAGACUGCCAGCAACCCCUUCGACGUCUUCGAGCUAUUUCCUGAUGACGAGGCAUUUGCGAAAAAUUGCCCUACACCAGACCAGCUACGCUCGUCUAUAACUCAACGCGUGGCUGAUGGAUUGACUCGGCGUGCUGCUGAUCUUGAGGGGGAGUUUUUCUUGGAGCUGCGAGUAUACAACACCGCCGAUAUACGCAUUUCAACAUGUGCGAACAUUGUGACCCCGAGGAUCCUUUUACCCAUGCUCAAGAGUGGAACACCCAGACAUUUGAAGACGCAUAUCCAGAACUUGCCAACAAGCAUGACGUG